rnacentral:rRNA from 1 species
GACGAACGCUGGCGGCAUGCCUAAUACAUGCAAGUCGAGCGAAUGAUGAAGAAGCUUGCUUCUUCUGAUUUAGCGGCGGACGGGUGAGUAACACGUGGGUAACCUGCCCAUAAGAGGGGGAUAACAUUCGGAAACGGAUGCUAAUACCGCAUAUUUCUAAUCGUCUCCUGACGAAUGGAAGAAAGGUGGCUUCGGCUACCGCUUAUGGAUGGACCCGCGGCGUAUUAGCUAGUUGGUGAGGUAAUGGCUCACCAAGGCGAUGAUACGUAGCCGACCUGAGAGGGUGAUCGGCCACACUGGGACUGAGACACGGCCCAG